rnacentral:rRNA from 1 species
GAUGAACGCUAGCUACAGGCUUAACACAUGCAAGUCGAGGGGAAACGAUAUUGGAAGCUUGCUUCCGAUAGGCGUCGACCGGCGCACGGGUGAGUAACGCGUAUCCAACCUGCCCACCACUUGGGGAUAACCCUGCGAAAGUAAGACUAAUACCCAAUGACGUCUCUAGAAGACAUCUGAAAGAGAUUAAAGAUUUAUCGGUGAUGGAUGGGGAUGCGUCUGAUUAGCUUGUUGGCGGGGUAACGGCCCACCAAGGCGACGAUCAGUAGGGGUUCUGAGAGGAAGGUCCCCCACAUUGGAACUGAGACACGGUCCAAACUCCGACGGGAGGCAGCAGUGACGAAUAUGGGUCAAUGGGCGAGAGCCUGAACCAGCCAAGUAGCGUGCAGGAUGACGGCCCUAUGGGUUGUAAACUGCUUUUAUAAGGGAAUAAAGUGAGUCUCGUGAGACUUUUUGCAUGUACCUUAUGAAUAAGGACCGGCUAAUUCCGUGCCAGCCGCCGCCGUAA